ACGGGUGAGUAACAAGGUGAGUAACCUGCCUAAAAGAAGGGGAUAACACUUGGAAACAGGUGCUAAUACCGUAUAUCUCUAAGGAUCGCAUGAUCCUUAGAUGAAAGAUGGUUCUGCUAUCGCUUUUAGAUGGACCCGCGGCGUAUUAACUAGUUGGUGGGGUAACGGCCUACCAAGGUGAUGAUACGUAGCCGAACUGAGAGGUUGAUCGGCCACAUUGGGACUGAGACACGGCCCAAACUCCUACGGGAGGCAGCAGUAGGGAAUCUUCCACAAUGGACGCAAGUCUGAUGGAGCAACGCCGCGUGAGUGAAGAAGGUCUUCGGAUCGUAAAACUCUGUUGUUAGAGAAGAACACGAGUGAGAGUAACUGUUCAUUCGAUGACGGUAUCUAACCAGCAAGUCACGGCUAACUACGUGCCAGCAGCCGCGGUAAUACGUAGGUGGCAAGCGUUGUCCGGAUUUAUUGGGCGUAAAGGGAACGCAGGCGGUCUUUUAAGUCUGAUGUGAAAGCCUUCGGCUUAACCGGAGUAGUGCAUUGGAAACUGGAAGACUUGAGUGCAGAAGAGGAGAGUGGAACUCCAUGUGUAGCGGUGAAAUGCGUAGAUAUAUGGAAGAACACCAGUGGCGAAAGCGGCUCUCUGGUCUGUAACUGACGCUGAGGUUCGAAAGCGUGGGUAGCAAACAGGAUUAGAUACCCUGGUAGUCCACGCCGUAAAACGAUGAAUGCUAGGUGUUGGAAGGGGUUUCCGCCC
rnacentral:rRNA from 1 species